ACACUACAUGAUUCAUUAUUACAUUUCACCAUUAGUAUUAGUCUCCGUGGUAAAAUCUCAAGUCAACUGUGUGCUUUCCUCUGAGCCAGUAGAACUAACGCUCAGAAGAAAGCCCUACUCCCAAAAAAUCCCAUAAAACACGCGGGAGCCACUGUUCUUUGACGACUGCACUUUCUGAUCAGAAGUUGAACUUCCUGAACUUGUUGGUCCACUAUCAAUGUCCAAUGGAAGCUUCAUCUUUGCCAAUGACUCCGUGAAUUGCUGCAUACUCUUCAUGUACAUAUCUACUAUAUCCUGUUGUACCACAUUCUGCUCUGGUUCCAAAUUAACUGAAAUAACAGGCUUUGCAAUUUUCUCACUUUGUGCCCCACCAGAGGAAUCAGUCUCACCAUCUCC
rnacentral:misc_RNA from 1 species